GAUGAAGAACGUAGAAAUGCGAUAAGUAGUGUGAAUUGCAGAAUUCAGUGAAUCAUCGAAUCUUUGAACGCACAUUGCGCCCCAUGGUAUUCCGUGGGGCAUGCCUGUUCGAGCGUCAUUUACCCCCUCAAGCUCCGCUUGGUGUUGGGCGUCUGUCCCGCUUCGCGCGCGGACUCGCCCCAAAGGUAUUGGCAGCGGUCGUGCCAGCUUCUCGCGCAGCACAUUGCGCUUCUCGAGGCACCGGUGGGCCCGCGUCCAUCAAGCUCACCCCCCCAGUUUGACCUCGGAUCAGGUAGGGAUACCCGCUGAACUUAAGCAUAUCAAUAGCGGAGGA
rnacentral:misc_RNA from 1 species